AGUGAACGCUGGCGGUAGGCCUAACACAUGCAAGUCGAACGGCAGCACAGUAAGAGCUUGCUCUUACGGGUGGCGAGUGGCGGACGGGUGAGGAAUACAUCGGAAUCUACUUUUUCGUGGGGGAGAACGUAGGGAAACUUACGCUAAUACCGCAGACGACCUACGGGUGAAAGCAGGGGAUCUUCGGACCUUGCGCGAGUGAAUGAGCCGAUGUCGGAUUAGCUAGUUGGCGGGGUAAAGGCCCACCAAGGCGACGAUCCGUAGCUGGUCUGAGAGGAUGAUCAGCCACACUGGAACUGAGACACGGUCCAGACUCCUACGGGAGGCAGCAGUGGGGAAUAUUGGACAAUGGGCGCAAGCCUGAUCCAGCCAUACCGCGUGGGUGAAGAAGGCCUUCGGGUUGUAAAGCCCUUUUGUUGGGAAAGAAAAGCAGCAGGUUAAUACCCCGCUGUUCUGACGGUACCCAAAGAAUAAGCACCGGCUAACUUCGUG
rnacentral:rRNA from 1 species